GAGGCGGGUCGGGGGAGGGCAGGGGAACGGAAGGGGUACCCGGGGAGCAUCCUAAGGGAACCUCUUCGCUUAAAAGGGCGGCCGCUGAAGUGGCUCUGAGAACAAAGGAGUUAACACUCGGACUCCACAGCCUGCGUCCCCGCCCGGUCAGCAUCGCAGGUGUUACCCAAACUCUGACGGUCCCUUUAAGAACUCACCCGGAGUCGCGCCCUCCGAAGCUGAGCCGCCCUCGGCCAGCGCUGCAGGCCCCAGCUUAUAAAUCUAUGAAGGUGUCCAGGUCCUGCCAGACUCCGCUGCAUCUUUUGCUUUCACUCCAGCAGGGUAGCAGCAUGCUGCCUGUGCCAAGGCAAUCACUAAAAGGAAAGGAUUUAAUGCUGUCAAAAAAGCUUAUGCCAGCUUAGGCUGCAGGAAGAGGAACAGUGUCAAGUAUGUUGAAAGUGGACAUAUUGGUCAGACCUCCAUGAGAGCCUAGGGGGCAUUGCUUAGCAGCACGCUUUUAAAGGAAUCUGAACAAACCAGCAUGUGGAAAGAAGAGAGUAACCACAGCAAUCAGGAAACAACUGUACAAUCUAGGGCCAUUUCAUUGGAAAAACAGAAGUCUCCAGGGAGCUGCAGUCAUCAAACAGGCUUAUUCUGUGUACCCAGUGGGCAAGUACAGUCAAUGGAUGAAAAUUCAACCAAUGGACAAACACAGGAAGUUUUUCCUUAACAUGAGUUGUCAGAAACUGUCCAAAAUUCCAAAGAGCUGCCUCAAGGUAGUGGAAAUUUUUUUUUUUUUUUAAUCAGGAAGGUGCUGAAUGAAGCCAGCAAGGAUUCUGUGUCAGAGGGUGGUAGAUACCCAGGACAUAAGGUUGAACCACGUGACCUCUGAGACCACAGUUCUAAGCUGUUGAAACCUCAGUCCCUGCUGAAUACUGAAAUGGUAUUAGCACCCUUUAGUCUACAUCAAGAAUUCGUUCUACCCAGUUUUGGUGGUACCAAGACUGAUCUCUUUCUCAUAGAUAAUUCUUAACAGAAUAAAAGCUACAGGUUGAAACCAAUUCCCUUUAAAAUGUGGACAGUUGACCAUCUCCAUGAUAGGUAGUUAGGCACUGAAUUAAUGCUUUUUAAUGGAAGAGCCACCCUAAGAUUCCUGGAGUGUGGUAUAAUGGAGUACUAAAUCAGCAUAGGACUAAUAACUGCCUCCCGUGUAAACUGGUCUAUCCGGAGAGUGGUAUAGCCUCUCAUACAGUGUUCAAAGGCAGAUUUAACUCACUGCAGGUCCACAGCAACCGAUAAGAUAAACUCGUUGGUUAUGGUCUCCCACUUUGCAAAGGAGAGCACAGAGGAAGAGGAAACUGAGAUAACUUGGUUUAGGACCCCACAGCUGGCUGGAGCUGGGCUGAACAUUAGUUCAUUGUUUCUUCGAUUAAUCUAUGCUGCUUUUUCUCUACUUGGCUCCUUUUCUAAAUUAAACAAAACAAAA
rnacentral:lncRNA from 1 species